rnacentral:tRNA from 1 species
ACCUGGGUGGCUCAGUGGGUUAAAAGCGUCUGACUUCAGCUCAGAUCAAGAUAUCAUGGUUUGUGGGUUCGAGCCCCACAUCAGGCU